AAUCUCCAAAGGGGUGGUCCGGUCUCCGGUGCCCCGGUGGUGUGAUAAGUCUCGAACUCUCGAAUUCUCGAUCCUCCUGUGUUCUCUGAUAUCUGGUAAGUGUGCGUGAAAGCACACGUGGCGAGAGUUUUGUAGCUCAAUACGUAAGUAUCACAUGUAAAAUGAAAUGUUGUCGAGAUUAAUAAAAUCCAGAGAAGUUAAAUUGGUCAAGAUUAUUCUAGUUGUCCUGAUUUCUGAGUUAAAAAGUUUCAAUUUUCUUUUAGUAAUUGAUUCUAUACAGCAGACUAUUAUAGAAUUUUGAGCUCAGCCUUAUGGGAAACCUGGAUUCUUUUGAUACUCAAUUUGACUUCCUGAAGUAAUAAAUAUGUAACUUACAUCAUUACCCUUUUCAAACUGGAUCAUAUUGAACACAUACACCUCUAACUAAUUUACAUGAAGUUCUCACAUGAUUGAUUGUCAGUUCUAAAUUUGAUAGCACAUUUGGAUAUCAAGUUAGAAUGUCGGGGAAGCAGUUACCUGUUAUUUCUUAGGCAACUGGCAAGGGAAUGCCAACCUAAGCACUUUUGGGGCAGUCUCUCAGACUGUCUUGCCCUUGCAUCAUGUGUAUCAUUUUACAUUUGUCUUUGCAAAGGUCUGAUUACCUCUUUGUUUACUUGGUUGAAGAGACUUGGCUCAUUUCUGGUUGGAAUUCUUUUUAAGUAUAAUGGGGCAAUUCAAUAACCACAAUCUGUUCUGGAAUUGGUAUGAUGGAAUUCUGAUAGAUGCUAAGUGAAGAAAAACCAAUAGCAUUGAUAGCUUAUAUGCCUGUUUGCAAAUGCUAACAAACUCAUUUUCAAAGAAGAGAAAAUAAGGCAUAUAAGAACAAAUAUUGUUGGGUUACCCUGGAAGGAAGGAUUUUGGUGUUUAAUCUUCUGUUGGAAUUUGGCAUGCUACUGACAGUCAACAUCUUCAUCUCUCACAGAACCAUAUCACUCAGCAAGCAAAAUCAGUUUGUGAGCUGAUGACAUCAGCUCUCACUGUAGAGGCGGAUCUUGGAAGUUCUCCAGAGCUUACGUCAGCCGUAAAAGUGUUAAAGUGAAAAGAAAAUGAGCCUUAGACACCUCACCACCUUGAAUCUUCUACCUGGGUUUAUCUACUAGCUAUUGGUGCAUUUCUUCAUUUACUGGAAGUGUUGAUAUUAGGAGGCAGAUAUUAUACGAUUUCAUGGAUUUGUCAAGUUACUUUCAACAACAGUCGACAUACGGGAAUAACGAUGAUAUUAGCACAAGUGAAUUUGCGCCCCGGUAUUUGCUGCUGAUCUUUCACACGUUCCCAGUCAACUAUUGAGGGCUUACGCCAAUUUAGUAUGUCCUCCACAUCAAAUGAAGAGGUCUAGCUGAACUGGAAUGGAUAUCCAAUCAUUUUUCGCCGACAAGUACUUUGACGACGACGGACUCUUCUUAGCUACCAUCACACUAGUUGCGACUUGCGACGGAUUCCGAGACAAACGCAAACCUUUUGCUCCACUUAGCCCAUAACAACCGACAGCAUUUAAGGAGCUCUAACAAGGACAGCUGCUCCGCUUCGCCGUGGAAUAACAGCUACAUGAAGACUGACCUGAGACAAGCUAGAGGUAUCCGCUAAACGUUGGCCGAAGAAACGAAAAACAGGAAAGUAGAAUGGUUUCUGAUCUUGUUUACGAUGAGAUUGAACGCAAUGCUGGUUGUGGCGGUGGCGAUUUCUGCCCGUGCAGCAACAACCAACAAAAUCAUUGUAACGAGGCCCGACGGUCUUGCAAUACGUGUCGAAUUUAAGCGACGAAGAUCGUUGUCGCUUGUCAGAACAGCAGUGACGUCAAUCGCGAAUAAUUUUGUUCCAAUAGUGACAGUCGGCCAUUGAUUUCCCUUUAGCAUCAGCAUCACAAUACGGCCAUCUUCACCACCAAUUAAGCAGCCAAAGCCAGCCGGGCGAUGGAGGACAUUGGCAUCCAAGUUUAAACCAAUUUCACACUGCCUCCCAACAUUCAUAUCCGUCACCCAUUCACAUGGGGUUUGAAGGGGCGCCGCGAUACAGCCAGCGACCAGGCCAGGAGCCGCACUUGAACAUGUACUCGUAUUAACAAGAAACGGGCCUGACUGCCCUCAGUUUGAAGAACGGUGAGCCCAUAUUUGUGGAUAGCGGCCUGGACUGGAACAGCAACAGAGUUCUGCCGUUCAAUUCGCGGAUUGCUGAACAUGUUUGCAAAAAGACGAGAAGACGAAAAGAAAAUAAUGAUCAAAAAUUAGGGGAAGAAUGUGUUGACUAUGAGAUGAUUACCCUUGAAAAGACUUUAUUUGCGCAUGUGAGUAAUCAGAGGCAAAAAGGAGAAAUUUUCUUUUUUUUUCUUACUUUUUCCAUUAGAAAGUGGGAAAGAAAGAAAACCCAUUUAGAAUUGACCGACGUGUUUUUUUAGUCAAAUUUUAUGUAUAUAUAAUUAUAUGUUAACUUAUAUAUUUAUGUGUGUCUAGAAAAGCAGAAUGUAUCAUCCGUCGCCCCUAAAUCUUCUCCUUUCCAAUUGAUUUCAUUAUUCCGUGUUGUAAUUGUGUCGGCUCCUGUCUACUACAAUUAUGUCGAUGAAGAAAUAGUACAGGCUGACCCUAAGUGCAACAAAAGUUUUAGCCACAAAUGUUUAUCAACUCGUCUUGCAACUAGUAGUUGAUAUUCUAGGUUUUUAAAUUGAAAAUUGGAAUCAACUGUUUGAGGCGGAAAAAAUAGAUUUCGUUAUCCCUGGCAGGCGGAGGGCGCUAACAUCUGCUAUCGUCAAAAUUGUCUAUUCCCUUACGGCAGCUCUCCACGUACCAAAGUAGACAGGAUAUUUAUUCUAAAUCCCACAAUGUCCUGAGUACGAAUCAUACUGAAUUGGAAUAGGAUUUUGACUGAGGCUGGGUGCCGAAACAAUGGAUGGUAAUUGGGAGCGCGAUUGGAAAUAUCCAUGUUUUAUUAACGUUGUCUCAUGUUACGGUAUUUUACUUAAGACAAAUUGAAGUGCAUAUAUGGGCUCCCUUCUUUUCUGAAGCCCCGUUUCCCCUUGACUCAUAAUAAGCCCGUAGGGGGUCAUGCCCCUACUGUACGGUAUAUAUAAAAACAACAUAUAUCGAGGU